GAAAUGCGAUAAGUAAUGUGAAUUGCAGAAUUCAGUGAAUCAUCGAAUCUUUGAACGCACAUUGCGCCCGCCAGUAUUCUGGCGGGCAUGCCUGUUCGAGCGUCAUUUCAACCAUCAAGCCCCCGGCUUGUGUUGGGGACCUGCGGCUGCCCGCGGGCCCUGAAAACCAGUGGCGGGCUCGCUGUCACACCGAGCGUAGUAGCAUACAUCUCGCUCAGGGCGUGCUGCGGGUUCCGGCCGUUAAAAGCCUUUUUUACCCAAGGUUGACCUCGGAUCAGGUAGGAAGACCCGCUGAACUUAAGC
rnacentral:misc_RNA from 1 species